UUGCCUGCUAACCUGGAUUUCUUUUAGCAAAAUAUGCAGAUUUAAAAAAUAUAUACUUCUGUGUAUUGAUUUUAAGAAAGGCAUUGAUGUUUAUGGUUAGGUGCAGUCGUGCAACGAUUCUGCUAUUUUCGCAAAUGCGCUUUUGUUAAAUCAUCCCCCGUUUGGCGAAGUUGACUGUCUUUGUUAGGAUGAAAUAGUCUUCACAGAGUUCACAACGAGCCAGGUUAGCAGGCAAUAUUAACUAAAUAUGCAGGUUUAAAAAUAUAUACUUGUGUAUUGAUUUUAAGAAAGGCAUUGAUGUUUAUGGUUAGGUACAUACUGGAGCAAGACUGUCCUUUUUCGUGUAUAAGCACCGCAUCGAUUAUAUGCAACGCAGGACACGCUAGAUAAACUAGUAAUAUCAUCAACCAUGUGUAGUUAACUAGUGAUUAUGAUUGAUUGUUUUUUAUAAGAAAUUUAAUGCUAGCUAGCAACUUACCUUGCCUUCUUACUGCAUUCGUGUAACAGGCAGUCUCCUCGUGCAAUGUAAUCAGGUGGUUCGAACGUUGGACUAGUUAACUAAGGUUUCAAGAUUGAAUCCCCGAGCUAACAAGGUAAAAAUCUGUCAUUCUGCCCCUGAACAAGGCAGUUAACCCACCUUUCCUAGGCCAUCAUUGAAAAUAAGAAUGUGUUCUUAACUGACUUGCCUAGUUAAAGGAUAAAUAUAGGUGUAAAAAAAAUAUAUAUAUAUUCUUUCAAAUCGGUGUCCAAAAAUACCGAUUUCCGAUUAUGAAUACUUAAUCGGUCGACCUCUACGCACUACCCUCUGGAGAGCCUUGCGGUUGAGGGCGGUGCAAUUGUGUUUUAGAUGACAAGCCAAAUUUCUUCAGCCUCCUGAGGUUGAAGAGGCGCUGUUGUGCUGCCUUCACCACGCUGUCUGUGUGGGUGGACCAUUUCAGUUUGUCUGUGAUGUGUUCGCCGAGGAACUUAACUUUCCACCCUCUCCACUACUGUCCCGUCAAUGUCGAUAGGGGGCUGCUCCAUCUGCUGUUUCUUGAAGUCCACGAUCAUCUACUUUUGUUUUGUUGACGUUGACCGAGAGGUUAUUUUCCUGACGCCACAUUCGGGAGGACCCUCACCACCUCCCUACAGGCCUACCACUAGUGUAGUCUGCAAACUUGAUGAUUGAGUUGGAAGCGUGCAUGGCCACGCAGUCAUGAGUGAACAGGGAGAACAAUGCUGUGAAUGCACCCUUGUGGGGCUGCAGUGUUGAGUAUCAGCAGGGUGAAGAUGUUAUUUCCUACCUUCACCACCUGGGGGCAGCCCAUCAAAGUCCAGGACCCAGUUGGACUGGGCGGGGUCAAGACCCCCGGGUCUCGAGCUUAAUGAUGAGUUUGCAGGGUACUAUAGUGUUAAAUGCUGAGCUGUAGGCAAUGAACAACAUUCUUACAUAGGUAUUCCUCUUGUCCAGAUGGGAUAGGGCAGUGUGAUGGCGACUGCAUUGUCAGUGGACCUAUUGGGUCGCCCCUCUGUAUUUCAGUGCUAAGGUUCUGAUCGGGUUCUCCACACUGGCGAAUCUGUAUUCUGUGUGUCGAUUCUACCUGGGUCUGGACCUUACCCAGCGCUCCAGCACUGUCCUCUGCCUCACUGAGGGGGAGCAAUGAAGGAAGGGAGGAUGAGGAGAAGAGAUCAAAGGAGGGAGAUGUGUGAAGGGAGGCGGGAGAGAUGGGAAGAGAUUGUUACAGGGAGGAAUUGUGUGGGAGACGUUUCUGUUCAUUUGCCAGUUGGCAAAUUUUAACAGAAGGUGGCGCCAAAGUAUAUUGUUUGAAACAUAUGUUUUUUGGAUACCCUGUUUUCUGUAGGUGAUUGAUUUUAUGUUGUAUGACUUUGGCAUGGAUACCUGUGUGUGAUAUGUGCUGGAACUUAACAGUGACUAAAAUGCUAAACAUGAAGAAAGA